GGGUGGGGGAUAUAUAUCCAUUGGGCCACGUGUUAGGAAAAAAUCCUAGGCUAAGAUGUUUCAAUAGUUAAAGCCUUCUGAUGGACUGAGAUUCAGGAAUUAAGAGCUGAGAGGCAGCCAACUUCCAAGUAGGCCCUGGGCAACCUGUGGGGAAGGCCUCAGAUGUCUCCCAUUGCUUUCUAGGAAAAAAGAAAAGAAAAGAAAUCCUCCAGGUGGCUGGCGGUGAAGCUCGCUGUGAGCACCCUCGACUGUGGACCCAGUAGACUUUGAACCAGCACCAAGAGUAUGAGUGUGCAGACUGCCACACUCUUGCCGGUCCUGCUUGUUACCGUUUUGCCAGUAAUAAUUUAAACAGUGCAUUGGAAAUACAGAAGCUCGACCAUUUUUUAAAUAAA